rnacentral:rRNA from 1 species
AGAGCGAACGCUGGCGGCAGGCUUAACACAUGCAAGUCGAGCGGGCGUAGCAAUACGUCAGCGGCAGACGGGUGAGUAACGCGUGGGAACGUACCUUUUGGUUCGGAACAACACAGGGAAACUUGUGCUAAUACCGGAUAAGCCCUUACGGGGAAAGAUUUAUCGCCGAAAGAUCGGCCCGCGUCUGAUUAGCUAGUUGGUGAGGUAACGGCUCACCAAGGCGACGAUCAGUAGCUGGUCUGAGAGGAUGAUCAGCCACAUUGGGACUGAGACACGGCCCAAACUCCUACGGGAGGCAGCAGUGGGGAAUAUUGGACAAUGGGCGCAAGCCUGAUCCAGCCAUGCCGCGUGAGUGAUGAAGGCCCUAGGGUUGUAAAGCUCUUUUGUGCGGGAAGAUAAUGACGGUACCGCAAAGAAUAAGCCCGGCUAACUUCGCGCCAGCAGCCGC